CAAGAGGAGGAGGAGACAGUAAUACAGGACAAGUUAAAGUAGAUUUUGUUGUCUGAGUAUUUCCUGUUAAAGUUACUGGCUAGUCUUGAUGAGCAGUUGGGACGUACCAAGUGGGUGGUACCAGUACGAGCUAAUGAUGAAAUGGAAACAUUAAUUAAAGCAUCAAAUAAACUAGCGAAAGAAAGUAAUGGAGUUGUACAUGUAAGCCAAACCUCCAGGAUGAGGUAAAGAGUUUGGAGAAUGUCAGCGGUUCUAUAGAAAAGUGGAUAGAUUCACAGGAUAGAGUAAUCUGGUGUCUUCUUUUUUGAUUUCAUGCUUCCUCCAGGACCGCCUUUGCUGUUGGAUCCUCUGUUCUUUUUGCUGUUCGGUGGAGGAGCAAACACAGGUGGUGGCUUAGCAGUUUAAAUGAUGAGUUACUUAAGAAGGAGGCAACCACUGACUCAAGGAGUGAGACCUUCUCUUCAAUAAUGAAGAAUGUUCAGCUAAUGGUACAGGAUGUGGUGUUUGUCAUUCAAGGGAUCUGUUGUUCAGGUUUAGUGAAGAUGUGGUUACAUUUCCUAACUGCUCCUCACACUUUCACUGGUUAUAGCAAGUUCCUCUUAAAGGUUCAAGUACAUUAGGUUAAUGACACUAAGAGGAUAAAGUACAAUUCUCUGCUAUUGAAGACUACAUUGAGAAGUUAAUUGUUUGCUGUUUGAAGCUGUACAUUAACUGAAGACUAUAAAGAAUUACACAACAUUAUUGUUUAUAAUUUUUAGCAUUUUUGUUUAAUACACAAAGUUGUCCUUUUAUCAUUGAUUAUUAUGAA